UGGGGGAUAUUGCGCAAUGGGGGCAACCCUGACGCAGCAACGCCGCGUGAAGGAUGAAGGUUUUCGGAUUGUAAACUUCUUUUAUUAAGGACGAAAAAUGACGGUACUUAAUGAAUAAGCUCCGGCUAACUACGUGCCAGCAGCCGCGGUAAUACGUAGGGAGCAAGCGUUGUCCGGAUUUACUGGGUGUAAAGGGUGCGUAGGCGGCUUUGCAAGUCAGAUGUGAAAUCUAUGGGCUCAACCCAUAAACUGCAUUUGAAACUGUAGAGCUUGAGUGAAGUAGAGGCAGGCGGAAUUCCCCGUGUAGCGGUGAAAUGCGUAGAUAUCGGGAGGAACACCAGUGGCGAAGGCGGUCUACUGGGCACCAACUGACGCUGAGGCUCGAAAGCAUGGGUAGCAAACAGGAUUAGAUACCCUGGUAGUCCAUGCCGUAAACGAUGAUUACUAGGUGUUGGGGGAUUGACCCCCUCAGUGCCGCAGUUAACACAAUAAGUAAUCCACCUGGGGAGUACGACCGCAAGGUUGAAACUCAAAGGAAUUGACGGGGGCCCGCACAAGCAGUGGAGUAUGUGGUUUAAUUCGAAGCAACGCGAAGAACCUUACCAGGUCUUGACAUCCGAUGCAUAGCACAGAGAUGUGUGAAAUCCUUCGGGACAUCGAGACAGGUGGUGCAUGGUUGUCGUCAGCUCGUGUCGUGAGAUGUUGGGUUAAGUCCCGCAACGAGCGCAACCCUUAUUGCCAGUUACUACGUUAAGAGGACUCUGGCGAGACUGCCGUUGACAAAACGGAGGAAGGUGGGGAUGACGUCAAAUCAUCAUGCCCUUUAUGACCUGGGCUACACACGUACUACAAUGGCGUUAAACAAAGAGAAGCAAGACCGCGAGGUGGAGCAAAACUCAAAAACAACGUCUCAGUUCAGAUUGCAGGCUGCAACUCGCCUGCAUGAAGUCGGAAUUGCUAGUAAUCGCGGAUCAGCAUGCCGCGGUGAAUACGUUCCC
rnacentral:rRNA from 1 species